rnacentral:rRNA from 1 species
GCCCCAGUAACGGCGAGUGAAGCGGCAAGAGCUCAAAUUUGAAAUCUGGCCUCCCCCGGGGGCCCGAGUUGUAAUUUGCAGAGGAUGCUUCGGGUGCGGCCGCCGUCUAAGUUCCUUGGAACAGGACGUCAGAGAGGGUGAGAAUCCCGUCUUGGGCGGGCGGUCCGCGCCCGUGUGAAGCUCCUUCGACGAGUCGAGUUGUUUGGGAAUGCAGCUCUAAGCGGGUGGUAAAUUUCAUCUAAAGCUAAAUAUUGGCCGGAGACCGAUAGCGCACAAGUAGAGUGAUCGAAAGGUUAAAAGCACCUUGAAAAGGGAGUUAAACAGCACGUGAAAUUGUUGAAAGGGAAGCGCUUGCGGCCAGACUCGGGGGCGGGGUUCAGCGGGUGCUCGUCGCCCGUGUAUUCCUCGUCUCCCGGGCCAGCAUCAGUUUCGACGGCCGGUCAAAGGCCCCCGGAAUGUGUCGUCUCUCGGGACGUCUUAUAGCCGGGGGUGCAAUGCGGCCCGUCGGGACUGAGGAACGCGCUCCGGCUCGGAUGCUGGC